UACAGAGGUCUCAAGCGUUGUUCGGAAUCACUGGGCGUAAAGAGUGCGUAGGCGGUUAUGAAAGUUAGGAGGGAAAGCCCAGGGCUUAACCUUGGAAUUGCUCUUAAUACUACAUAACUCGAAUUCGGGAGAGGAUAGCGGAAUUGUCAGUGUAGCAGUGAAAUGCGUAGAUAUUGACAGGAACACCAGUGGCGUAAGCGGCUAUCUGGACCGACAUUGACGCUGAGGCACGAAAGCGUGGGGAUCAAACAGG
rnacentral:rRNA from 1 species